rnacentral:tRNA from 1 species
GGGAAUGUGGCUUAGUGGUAGAGUGCUUGCCCAGCAUGCAUGAAGCCCUGGGUUCAAUUCCUCAGUACUACCU